CGAGAGGCUGAACCAGCCAAGUCGCGUGAGGGAUGAAGGUUCUAUGGAUCGUAAACCUCUUUUAUAAGGGAAUAAAGUGCGGGACGUGUCCCGUUUUGUAUGUACCUUAUGAAUAAGGAUCGGCUAACUCCGUGCCAGCAGCCGCGGUAAUACGGAGGAUCCGAGCGUUAUCCGGAUUUAUUGGGUUUAAAGGGUGCGUAGGCGGCCUUUUAAGUCAGCGGUGAAAGUCUGUGGCUCAACCAUAGAAUUGCCGUUGAAACUGGGGGGCUUGAGUAUGUUUGAGGCAGGCGGAAUGCGUGGUGUAGCGGUGAAAUGCAUAGAUAUCACGCAGAACCCCGAUUGCGAAGGCAGCCUGCCAAGCCAUGACUGACGCUGAUGCACGAAAGCGUGGGGAUCAAACAGGAUUAGAUACCCUGGUAGUCCACGCAGUAAACGAUGAUCACUAGCUGUUUGCGAUACACUGUAAGCGGCACAGCGAAAGCGUUAAGUGAUCCACCUGGGGAGUACGCCGGCAACGGUGAAACUCAAAGGAAUUGACGGGGGCCCGCACAAGCGGAGGAACAUGUGGUUUAAUUCGAUGAUACGCGAGGAACCUUACCCGGGUUUGAACGCAUUCGGACCGAGGUGGAAACACCUUUUCUAGCAAUAGCCGUUUGCGAGGUGCUGCAUGGUUGUCGUCAGCUCGUGCCGUGAGGUGUCGGCUUAAGUGCCAUAACGAGCGCAACCCUUGCCACUAGUUACUAACAGGUGAUGCUGAGGACUCUGGUGGGACUGCCAGCGUAAGCUGCGAGGAAGGCGGGGAUGACGUCAAAUCAGCACGGCCCUUACAUCCGGGGCGACACACGUGUUACAAUGGCGUGGACAAAGGGAGGCCACCUGGCGACAGGGAGCGAAUCCCCAAACCACGUCUCAGUUCGGAUCGGAGUCUGCAACCCGACU
rnacentral:rRNA from 1 species